rnacentral:rRNA from 1 species
AUUGAACGCUGGCGGCAUGCCUUACACAUGCAAGUCGAACGGCAGCACGGGUGCUUGCACCUGGUGGCGAGUGGCGAACGGGUGAGUAAUAUAUCGGAACGUACCUUAUUGUGGGGGAUAACGCAGCGAAAGCUGUGCUAAUACCGCCUAAUCCCUAAGGGGGAAAGCGGGGGACCGUAAGGCCUCGCGCAAUUAGAGCGGCCGAUACCUGAUUAGCCAGUUGGUGAGGUAAAGGCUCACCAAGGCAACGAUCAGUAGCUGGUCUGAGAGGACGAUCAGCCACACUGGGACUGAGACACGGCCAAGACUCCUACGGGAGGCAGCAGUGGGGAAUUUUGGACAAUGGGGGCAACCCUGAUCCAGCAAUGCCGCGUGAGUGAAGAAGGCCUUCGGGUUGUAAAGCUCUUUUGUCAGGGAAGAAACAGCAGCUCUAACACAGUUUGCGAAUGACGGUACCUGAAGAAUAAGCACCGGCUAACUACGUGCCAGCAGCCGCCGUAA